rnacentral:rRNA from 1 species
UACGGGGGGGGUAAGCGUUGUUCGGAAUUACUGGGCGUAAAGGGCUCGUAGGCGGCCAACUAAGUCAGACGUGAAAUCCCUCAGCUUAACUUGGGAACUGCGUCUGAUACUGGAUGGCUUGGAUUCGGGAGAGGAAUGCGGGAUUCCAGGUGUAGCGGUGAAAUGCGUAGAUAUCUGGAGGAACACCGGUGGCGAAGGCGGCAUUCUGGACCGACAUUGACGCUGAGGAGCGAAAGCCAGGGGAGCAAACGGG